AUUGAACGCUGGCGGCAGGCCUAACACAUGCAAGUCGAACGGUAACAGGAAGAAGCUUGCUUCUUUGCUGACGAGUGGCGGACGGGUGAGUAAUGUCUGGGAAACUGCCUUAUGGAGGGGGAUAACUACUGGAAACGGUAGCUAAUACCGCAUAACGUCGCAAGACCAAAGAGGGGGACCUUCGGGCCUCUUGCCAUCGGAUGUGCCCAGAUGGGAUUAGCUAGUAGGUGGGGUAACGGCUCACCUAGGCGACGAUCCCUAGCUGGUCUGAGAGGAUGACCAGCCACACUGGAACUGAGACACGGUCCAGACUCCUACGGGAGGCAGCAGUGGGGAAUAUUGCACAAUGGGCGCAAGCCUGAUGCAGCCAUGCCGCGUGUAUGAAGAAGGCCUUCGGGUUGUAAAGUACUUUCAGCGGGGAGGAAGGGAGUAAAGUUAAUACCUUUGCUCAUUGACGUUACCCGCAGAAGAAGCACCGGCUAACUCCGUG
rnacentral:rRNA from 1 species